CACUCCAAGCCCAUCCAGGGGCAGCAGAAGAAGCCCUUUGAGGAGCACUGGAGGAAGCACACCCUGUCCUAUGUGGACGUCAGCACUGGGAAGUGCACAGCCAGAGAACAACACAUCACACACAGGAAACAGUUGUGCUCAUGUGAUGGGGGCCUCAGCACUAGGAAGGAGUGGACUAUUGGCGCAUGUAGCAGCUUGAAUAAAUCUGAAAGUCACUACACUGCGUAAGAGAAGCCAAAUAAAAAAGUUCAUGCUGUGUACAGAGGGUGUUGAGAAUGCCUCCUACGUGACGGAAAGCAGAUCCGUGGUUCCCUGCAGACCGGCAGGAGCAGAUUCCAAAGGCACAGGAAGAAGCUUGCAGGUUGCCUGUUCACUCUGGCUAGUCAUAUGCAGAAAACUGAAACUAGACCCCUUCCUGACACCUUAUAUAAAAAUUAACUCAAGAUGGAUUAAAGAUUUAAACGUAAGACCCAAAACCAGAAAAAUCCUAGAAGAAAACCUAGGCAAUACCAUUCAGGACAUAAGCAUGGGCAAAGACUUCAUGACUAAAACACCAAAAGCAAUGGCAGCAAAAGCCAAAAUUGACAAAAGGUUUCCUUAACGACAACAAAAAAGGGAGUAAUCCUACCUACUGUAAGAGUCAUGACUCUUGAUUGCAGCUGACAGAAGCUCAUGACAGCCUGGUUUAGAUAAAAGGGGAAAGGACGACUGGAAGAAUCUUGGAGUUGGGAAUAUGGCACAUAAUUGAAGGAAGAGCAAUAAAACUAUAGCAGCUGCUCCCAACCCCAGCAACUUUGCUAUCUUAGAACGGAUCACCAGUGAAAGAGGGGAAGUUGCUACUGUGAUGAAUUCUGCCAUGUGGUACCAGACUGCUGCCCAGACCACAGUGUCCUCUGCAACCCUGCUUCUCAGAUGACCAAGAUGGUGCUGCCGAUGGUGUUGAGGACGGAGAACCCACC
rnacentral:lncRNA from 1 species